rnacentral:sRNA from 1 species
ACUCUCAUUGGUCAGCGAGUGAAUGCCGACCUGCAGACUGGGGCCUAAGUUUCUUUUAGUUUCCGGUGUCUCUGCAAUGGCGGCUCUAGACUCCCUGUCGCUCUUCACUAGCCUCGGCCUGAGCGAGCAGAAGGCCCGUGAGACGCUCAAGAACUCGGCUCUGAGCGCGCAGCUGCGCGAGGCCGCUACUCAGGCUCAGCAGACCCUGGGUUCCACCAUUGACAAAGCUACCGGGAUCCUGUUAUAUGGCUUGGCCUCCCGACUCAGGGAUACCCGGCGUCUCUCCUUCCUUGUAAGCUACAUAGCCAGUAAGAAGAUCCACACUGAGCCCCAGCUAAGCGCUGCCCUUGAGUAUGUGCGGAGUCACCCCUUGGACCCCAUCGACACUGUGGACUUCGAGCGGGAAUGUGGCGUGGGUGUCAUUGUGACCCCAGAGCAGAUUGAGGAGGCUGUGGAGGCUGCUAUUAACAGGCACCGGCCCCAGCUCCUGGUGGAACGUUACCAUUUCAACAUGGGGCUGCUGAUGGGUGAGCAGGGCCUGGAACGGGGCUAUAUUGUUCUCUCUGGUCAUGCCUUUUCUUCUGGGCACGAGUGAGAAGGAGUUGGGGGAAGGAACAGGAGUGACUUAAAGUGGUCUGGCUGGGCUCAGGCUCUGGUUCUGGUGGUCAGCCAGGACCUUUCCUUGGGAAAGAGGUGGGGGGAGUACUCUUUUUUGCCUUUCUGCAGCUCCUUGUGCCUAUGCUUCUAGGAGAGGCUCGGGCUGUGCUGAAGUGGGCAGAUGGCAAAAUGAUCAAGAAUGAAGUGGACAUGCAGGUCCUCCACCUUCUGGGCCCCAAGAUGGAGGCUGAUCUGGAGAAGAAGUUCAAGGUGGCAAAAGCUCGGCUAGAAGAAACAGACCGGAGGACGGCAAAGGAUGUGAUGGAGAAUGGCGAGACUGCUGACCAGACCCUGUCUCUGAUUGAGCAGCUCCGGGGGGAGGCCCUUAAGUUCCACAAGCCUGGUGAGAACUACAAGACCCCAGGCUAUGUGGUCACUCCACACACCAUGAAUCUACUAAAGCAGCACUUGGAGAUUACUGGUGGGCAGGUACGUACCCGGUUCCCGCCAGAACCCAAUGGAAUCCUGCAUAUUGGACAUGCCAAAGCCAUC